UGAGUAACCUGCCCUUAACUCUGGGAUAAGCCUGGGAAACUGGGUCUAAUACCGGAUAUGACUCCUCAUCGCAUGGUGGGGGGUGGAAAGCUUUAUUGUGGUUUUGGAUGGACUCGCGGCCUAUCAGCUUGUUGGUGAGGUAAUGGCUCACCAAGGCGACGACGGGUAGCCGGCCUGAGAGGGUGACCGGCCACACUGGGACUGAGACACGGCCCAGACUCCCUACGGGAGGCAG
rnacentral:rRNA from 1 species